UAUAUCAAGUCUAUGGUUUCUAAGUGAAAUCUGAAUUGUUGCUUACAAGUUAUGUCUCAUUUUAUUUUCAUCAAAUGGUUUUUAUCAUCCUAUUAUAAAUCUAUUUAAUGAAUUACAAGUAUCCAUUUAGUAAUUAUUAGUUAUAAUUGUUACAAAUUAUAUUUAAUCUACAGAUUUUCAACUAAUCCUUCACUGCGUAGUAUUUGCCUCAAAAACUAGAUUUUUGUAAAGUGAAUAUAAGUAGUCUAAUUGAAGUUUGUUCUCUAGGCAUUUUAAAGACACUUGUUAUUAUAAUUAUGUGCAACCAAAUGGUGAUACUAAUACCAAAAAGAUGUAUAGAAGGCCUGAUUUCAUUCCAACAUAACAUUGGAAAUCUAUUAAAUAAUUUUAAAAAAAGGCCAGUACCUCUAUAAGUAUCUGUAUUAAAUUUAGAUAUUUAUUUGUUUUGAGUUAAUUAAAUAAAAUAGUUGUCAAUUUUUGGUUUUUAAAUUGUAGGCAUGAAUUUAUCUCAACAGAUGUUUAUGGUAAAAAUGUACCAGUAUGCAACAAUGUAAUAUGGUCUACAGUUUAAAAUGCUACAUUGAUUGAUACAUUUAAAAAAAAAAACAUUUAAUGUUUUGCCAAAUUCUAGUACAAAAAAAUCAUUUGAUCCUUCACUAAAUUCUACAUUAAGGUAUUUAUAUUUUUUAAUUAUGCAUUUCAGUCUACUACAAUUUCUUCUAUUAAUUCCUUGUUGCUUUCCUUUCAUUUUUUCUAUGGUCCUCUUGGUUUUUUCCCCUCAUCAUAUGUGUCUUUAUGUUUUUCAACAUACUUCAGCCUACAAUCAUAAUCACAGAAAUUUUGUUUCAGCUAUUUCAAGAAAGUUUCAAAUUUUGAAAUAAAAAAUAACUAAGAAUAAUAGUUUGGCUAUGACAAUAUUACUUUAUAAAUAUCUUUGCCCAAAUGCAGUUACUUCAACCAAACUCAAGCCAUUCAUCCUUAUCUCUCUGGCAGAAGCUCUAUACUUUGAAAGUUAUAGUAACAAAGUAACUACAAAUAAAGCCAAAUGAUAAAAGAUAAAAUUGCUUAAGUAAAAAAUUCUAAUUAUUCUAUCUCUUCAUCAAGAGAACGCAACUAGACGGCGAUCAAAAUUAAUUUAUUCUCAUGCAUUUCUACCACUAUUCUAGUGUGAUUGUUUCGAGUUGUACACCGUUAUUUUUGUCAACUGCCGUGUGGUGGCAUUCAGAUAUCGGUGACCGCGUAGUGUGGGAUGCUUGAACAAGUUGUGUUCUCUUGAUGAACAAUAUAUAAGAUAUUUGUAUCUUUUACCAUUAACAAAAGUACUAACUGGAUUCUAAAACAUUUGUUCUUAGUGAAUAUCAAAUAAUAGCACCAUAUUAUUGAUUUGACAUAAAUUAAUAAUGUAACUCUUAAUUUUCCAUGUGAGUUAACUAAAUUCAAAAUUGUAUUCAAUGUAAUUGAUUUAAACCUCAUAUUAUACAAUAUUAACUGAUUUUUGAAAACUUAAAGGUCAUAGUACUCAUUACAUUGAAUUGAAAAACGCUAAUCAAAAUGUUCAUGUGAUGUACAAGAUUUUCAUAUUUUUACAACAAUGAGCAACGUCAAAAAUUAUAUUAAAUCAGAUUUGAGGACUGGUUAAUAUAAAACAAGGUCUAAUCUUAUAAAAAGUAGAUUUUCAUCUGAUGGCAAUUUUUAUAAAUUAAGUUAUUUUAUUUUUAAUUUAACAUUUAACUGAAAAAAAUAUAAUGUCAUUAUUAUUUUUUUUUUUUUUUAGGAUUUAAUAAACUAUCUGUUGUCAUCAAUAAUUCUACUUGGCUUAUUAUAGAUGAAAAACUAGAACUUGCAUCAAACAUCAAAAAUGAAUAGGUUUCCAGAUUGAAUUGUUGAAUGCACAUAUUUUUAAUGUCUAAUGCAUGCAAUAAUCUAAAAUAAUACAUUUUCAUAUAAAACAAAAUUAUUCAAUAUUGUUUAUAUUAUUAUUUAUUCUAAGCAAUAUGAGGGUGUAGUGUCAUUGUCCAUUACAGGGCUGUUAGUUUUAAGAACUAUCAUUUUGAGUAAUUACAAAAAAUAGCCUAACCCCUAAGAAAUGGCUCUAUUUUCACUUUUCUUUACAAUUUGUUUUUCCUACAACACAUUCUUCAUUAAUAUGAGAACACAGUGUGCUAGCACAGAAUGUUAUUUGUAUCUACGUUUUAGACAGACGUAUUAAUUUGAUUAUGGGUAAAAUAUUUUAAAUUUAGUAACUGAUAAUAUAAUUGUUCCUUUCAUAUUAUAACAAUACUCUUUUAAUGAAAUAUUAAACUAUACACUAUAUAAUUAUUUAAAAAAAACAUUAUUACUAAUUAUUAUAAGAUAAAAUAUUUAUUGUAAAAAUAUAUUUAUAAUAAUAAUCAACUUAUUUUUUAUACUUCUAAAGUUUUAAAAUCUUUAACUUAAACUGUUUUUAUUUUGGAUCUAUACAAUAAUUAUAAUCUAUAUUAUAAAUAGUUUAAAUGAAAGUGUUCUAUUAAACCACUCAUUAAAUAAAUAAAAGAAUCAAUUUUUACUUUUAAAUAUUAC